GAUGAACGCUGGCGGCGUGCCUAAUACAUGCAAGUCGAGCGAACAGACGAGGAGCUUGCUUCUCUGACGUUAGCGGCGGACGGGUGAGUAACACGUGGAUAACCUACCUAUAAGACUGGGAUAACUUCGGGAAACCGGAGCUAAUACCGGAUAAUAUAUUGAACCGCAUGGUUCAAUAGUGAAAGACGGUUUUGCUGUCACUUAUAGAUGGAUCCGCGCCGCAUUAGCUAGUUGGUAAGGUAACGGCUUACCAAGGCAACGAUGCGUAGCCGACCUGAGAGGGUGAUCGGCCACACUGGAACUGAGACACGGUCCAGACUCCUACGGGAGGCAGCAGUAGGGAAUCUUCCGCAAUGGGCGAAAGCCUGACGGAGCAACGCCGCGUGAGUGAUGAAGGUCUUCGGAUCGUAAAACUCUGUUAUUAGGGAAGAACAAAUGUGUAAGUAACUAUGCACGUCUUGACGGUACCUAAUCAGAAAGCCACGGCUAACUACGUGCCAGCAGCCGCGGUAAUACGUAGGUGGCAAGCGUUAUCCGGAAUUAUUGGGCGUAAAGCGCGCGUAGGCGGUUUUUUAAGUCUGAUGUGAAAGCCCACGGCUCAACCGUGGAGGGUCAUUGGAAACUGGAAAACUUGAGUGCAGAAGAGGAAAGUGGAAUUCCAUGUGUAGCGGUGAAAUGCGCAGAGAUAUGGAGGAACACCAGUGGCGAAGGCGACUUUCUGGUCUGUAACUGACGCUGAUGUGCGAAAGCGUGGGGAUCAAACAGG
rnacentral:rRNA from 1 species